rnacentral:rRNA from 1 species
GAUGAACGCUGGCUGCGUGCUUAACACAUGCAAGUCGAAGGAAGACGACUGCUGCUUGUUGCUUUUGAUAUACUGCCAAACGGGCGAGUAUCACUAGAGCUAUACUCCCCCUGACUCUGGCUUGAGGAUGGCCAUUGUGGGUCUAAACUAGUAUCUGAUGACUCCUCUCAAGGAGUGCUGAUGGGGAUCUUUAAUUUAUCUGGAAGGACUCGCGAUCCAUCUGAUUAACUUGGAGGUAGUGUAUCAGCCCGCCGAUGAUAGGAUCCCUGCCUGAUCUGAUAACAGGGCCCCCUGCGUUGGAAAUGAGACCCAGACUCCUCUCCUACGGGACGCUGCGGAGUAUAGUAUUGUGCGCUGGACCAUGAUCCGACCCCGCCGCGUAGCGUGUGAGAUGACUUGCCCUAUGGGUUGUCUUCUGCUUUGAAAAAGGAUUUUUGUGACUCUCCUGACACAUUAUGCAUGUGCCUAUAUGAAUGCCGACCGGCUCGUUCCUAGCCAGCGCCCGAGCGUUUUCCGAAAGUCCUGGCGUUAUCCAGAUCUAAUGCGUUUUGUCGCAUCUGAUGUCAGAGAUUGAGCGUGUUGUGAAAUGUAGAUGCUCAACUUCUGCACUGCAGCGCGAACUGGUUUCCUUGAGUACGCACAAAGUGGGCGGAAUUCGUGGUGUAGCGGUGAAAUGCUUAGAUAUCACGAAGAACUCCGAUUGCGAAGGCAGCUCACUGGAGCGCAACUGACGCUGAAGCUCGAAAGUGCGGGUAUCGAACAGGAUUAGAUACCCUGGUAGUCCGCACGGUAAACGAUGGAUGCCCGCUGUUGGUCUGAAUAGGUCAGCGGCCAAGCGAAAGCAUUAAGCAUCCCACCUGGGGAGUACGCCGGCAACGGUGAAACUCAAAGGAAUUGACGGGGGCCCGCACAAGCGGAGGAACAUGUGGUUUAAUUCGAUGAUACGCGAGGAACCUUACCCGGGCUUGAAUUGCAGAGGAAGGAUUUGGAGACAAUGACGCCCUUCGGGGUCUCUGUGAAGGUGCUGCAUGGUUGUCGUCAGCUCGUGCCGUGAGGUGUCGGCUUAAGUGCCAUAACGAGCGCAACCCCUCUCCUUAGUUGCCAUCAGGUUAAGCUGGGCACUCUGGGGACACUGCCACCGUAAGGUGUGAGGAAGGUGGGGAUGACGUCAAAUCAGCACGGCCCUUACGUCCGGGGCUACACACGUGUUACAAUGGCAGGUACAGAGAGAUGGUGUUCUGCAAAGCGCAUCUAAUCCUUAAAGCCUGUCUCAGUUCGGACUGGGGUCUGCAACCCGACCCCACGAAGCUGGAUUCGCUAGUAAUCGCGCAUCAGCCAUGGCGCGGUGAAUACGUUCCCGGGCCU